rnacentral:lncRNA from 1 species
UGAAAUCAGUCUUAGACUUAAACUUUUUUCCCUCUGCCUGUUUUUCUUUCUUUCAUGUGUUAUAGAAUGCAUCUGAACACGUAAGUUGCCAACUCAUAUAGGUCGGUUAGGACGUUCGGCAACUCGCGCUGCCACGAAGGUAGAACAAGUCUCGACUUUGGAUCGACCUUCAAUGGUCGAGGCCGUAAGUCGGGCGUCCUUCCUCCGACCGUGCAUCGGAC